UACGGAGGGGGCUAGCGUUGUUCGGAAUUACUGGGCGUAAAGCGUACGUAGGCGGAUCAGAAAGUAUGGGGUGAAAUCCCAGGGCUUAACCCUGGAACUGCCUCAUAAACUCCUGGUCUUGAGUUCGAGAGAGGUGAGUGGAAUUCCAAGUGUAGAGGUGAAAUUCGUAGAUAUUUGGAGGAACACCAGUGGCGAAGGCGGCUCACUGGCUCGAUACUGACGCUGAGGUACGAAAGUGUGGGGAGCAAACAGG
rnacentral:rRNA from 2 species